AGAGUUUGAUCCUGGCUCAGAACGAACGCUGGCGGCAUGCCUAACACAUGCAAGUCGAACGAUGCCUUCGGGCAUAGUGGCGCACGGGUGCGUAACGCGUGGGAAUCUGCCCUUGGGUUCGGAAUAACUCAGAGAAAUUUGAGCUAAUACCGGAUGAUGACGUAAGUCCAAAGAUUUAUCGCCCAAGGAUGAGCCCGCGUAAGAUUAGCUAGUUGGUGGGGUAAAGGCCUACCAAGGCGACGAUCUUUAGCUGGUCUGAGAGGAUGAUCAGCCACACUGGGACUGAGACACGGCCCAGACUCCUACGGGAGGCAGCAGUGGGGAAUAUUGGACAAUGGGCGAAAGCCUGAUCCAGCAAUGCCGCGUGAGUGAUGAAGGCCUUAGGGUUGUAAAGCUCUUUUACCAGGGAUGAUAAUGACAGUACCUGGAGAAUAAGCUCCGGCUAACUCCGUG
rnacentral:rRNA from 1 species